UUUAAUGAUUUAAUUAAAACAUAGAUAAAACGAAGAAGACUAGAAAGAUGUCAAUGAAUACCCCCAAAUAUUCCUAAUAAUUAUUCAGUUCCGAUGGCUAAAAUAUUUUAUCCAUUUUAUACACUUUAAAAAGCUGCUUUCUUCUUCUUCUUUCUCUCUCAAUCACUUUGGUCUCUUUUCUUUUUCCCGAGAGAGAGAAAAAAAAGAAAUGGGAUUGUUAAUGUCGGGAGAGAAAGUGAAGUAUGCUCUUCUCUUCAUCUUCAUCAUCUGCUUCGAUAUUUUCUUCGCAUCAAAUGCUCAAUUUUUGCCAGACGAUGAAGGUCCUUUCUCUAUCUUACUCUUUUUUUUUUUCUUUUUUUUUGGGGGUUUAAUCUAUAGUACCUUACUCUUUCUAUUACAUAUUUACAUUUCCAGUUACAAGAUUUCUUCACUGACUCGCCGAUUCAACUUUAUUUUUCGAUGAAUUAUAUAAUUAUAAUUGGAUUGUUGCUUUAUAUAGAAAAAAGAGAGUCAAAUUAUUGGAUUCUUGCUUUAAAUACAUUUAUAAAAAUUAU
rnacentral:lncRNA from 1 species